rnacentral:rRNA from 1 species
AUUGAACGCUGGCGGCAUGCCUUACACAUGCAAGUCGAACGGCAGCACGGGGGCAACCCUGGUGGCGAGUGGCGAACGGGUGAGUAACAUAUCGGAACGUGCCCUGGAGUGGGGGAUAACUAGUCGAAAGAUUAGCUAAUACCGCAUACGAUCUACGGAUGAAAGUGGGGGAUCGCAAGACCUCAUGCUCGUGGAGCGGCCGAUAUCUGAUUAGCUAGUUGGUGGGGUAAAGGCCUACCAAGGCAUCGAUCAGUAGCUGGUCUGAGAGGACGACCAGCCACACUGGGACUGAGACACGGCCCAGACUCCUACGGGAGGCAGCAGUGGGGAAUUUUGGACAAUGGGCGCAAGCCUGAUCCAGCAAUGCCGCGUGAGUGAAGAAGGCCUUCGGGUUGUAAAGCUCUUUUGUCAGGGAAGAAACGGUGAGGGCUAAUAUCCUUUGCUAAUGACGGUACCUGAAGAAUAAGCACCGGCUAACUACGUGCCAGCAGCCGCGGUAAUACGCAGGGUGCAAGCGUUAAUCGGAAUUACUGGGCGUAAAGCGUGCGCAGGCGGUUGUGCAAGACCGAUGUGAAAUCCCCGGGCUUAACCUGGGAAUGGCAUUGGUGACUGCACGGCUAGAGUGUGUCAGAGGGGGGUAGAAUUCCACGUGUAGCAGUGAAAUGCGUAGAGAUGUGGAGGAAUACCGAUGGCGAAGGCAGCCCCCUGGGAUAACACUGACGCUCAUGCACGAAAGCGUGGGGAGCAAACAGGAUUAGAUACCCUGGUAGUCCACGCCCUAAACGAUGUCAACUAGUUGUCGGGUCUUAAUUGACUUGGUAACGCAGCUAACGCGUGAAGUUGACCGCCUGGGGAGUACGGUCGCAAGAUUAAAACUCAAAGGAAUUGACGGGGACCCGCACAAGCGGUGGAUGAUGUGGAUUAAUUCGAUGCAACGCGAAAAACCUUACCUACCCUUGACAUGGCAGGAAUCCCGGAGAGAUUCGGGAGUGCUCGAAAGAGAACCUGCACACAGGUGCUGCAUGGCUGUCGUCAGCUCGUGUCGUGAGAUGUUGGGUUAAGUCCCGCAACGAGCGCAACCCUUGUCAUUAGUUGCUACGAAAGGGCACUCUAAUGAGACUGCCGGUGACAAACCGGAGGAAGGUGGGGAUGACGUCAAGUCCUCAUGGCCCUUAUGGGUAGGGCUUCACACGUCAUACAAUGGUACAUACAGAGGGCCGCCAACCCGCGAGGGGGAGCUAAUCCCAGAAAGUGUAUCGUAGUCCGGAUUGCAGUCUGCAACUCGACUGCAUGAAGUUGGAAUCGCUAGUAAUCGCGGAUCAGCAUGUCGCGGUGAAUACGUUCCCGGGUCU